CUUGGUCAUUUAGAGGAAGUAAAAGUCGUAACAAGGUCUCCGUUGGUGAACCAGCGGAGGGAUCAUUACCGAGUUUACAACUCCCAAACCCCUGUGAACAUACCUUAAUGUUGCCUCGGCGGAUCAGCCCGCGCCCCGUAAAACGGGACGGCCCGCCAGAGGACCCAAACUCUAAUGUUUCUUAUUGUAACUUCUGAGUAAAACAAACAAAUAAAUCAAAACUUUCAACAACGGAUCUCUUGGUUCUGGCAUCGAUGAAGAACGCAGCAAAAUGCGAUAAGUAAUGUGAAUUGCAGAAUUCAGUGAAUCAUCGAAUCUUUGAACGCACAUUGCGCCCGCUGGUAUUCCGGCGGGCAUGCCUGUUCGAGCGUCAUUUCAACCCUCAAGCCCCCGGGUUUGGUGUUGGGGAUCGGCUCUGCCUUCUGGCGGUGCCGCCCCCGAAAUACAUUGGCGGUCUCGCUGCAGCCUCCAUUGCGUAGUAGCUAACACCUCGCAACUGGAACGCGGCGCGGCCAUGCCGUAAAACCCCAACUUCUGAAUGUUGACCUCGGAUCAGGUAGGAAUACCCGCUGAACUUAAGCAUAUCAAUAAGCGGAGGAAAAGAAACCAACAGGGAUUGCCCUAGUAACGGCGAGUGAAGCGGCAACAGCUCAAAUUUGAAAUCUGGCUUUCGGGCCCGAGUUGUAAUUUGUAGAGGAUACUUUUGAUGCGGUGCCUUCCGAGUUCCCUGGAACGGGACGCCAUAGAGGGUGAGAGCCCCGUCUGGUUGGAUGCCAAAUCUCUGUAAAGUUCCUUCGACGAGUCGAGUUGUUUGGGAAU
rnacentral:sRNA from 1 species